GUUCAUAUCGACGGCGGUGUUUGGCACCUCGAUGUCGGCUCAUCACAUCCUGGGGCUGAAGCCGGUYCCAAGGGUAUGGCUGUUCGCCAUUUAAAGUGGUACGCGAGCUGGGUUUAGAACGUCGUGAGACAGUUCGGUCCCUAUCUGCCGUGGACGUUUGAGAUUUGAGAGGGGCUGCUCCUAGUACGAGAGGACCGGAGUGGACGAACCUCUGGUGUUCCGGUUGUCACGCCAGUGGCAUUGCCGGGUAGCUAUGUUCGGAAAAGAUAACCGCUGAAAGCAUCUAAGCGGGAAACUUGCCUCAAGAUGAGAUCUCACUGGGAACUUGAUUCCCCUGAAGGGCCGUCGAAGACUACGACGUUGAUAGGCUGGGUGUGUAAGCGUUGUGAGGCGUUGAGCUAACCAGUACUAAUUGCCCGUGAGGCUUGACCAUAUAACACCCAAACA
rnacentral:rRNA from 1 species